GGAGAGGUGGCUGAGUGGUUGAUAGCUCCGGUCUUGAAAACCGGUAUAGUUUUGAUAACUAUCGAGGGUUCGAAUCCCUCUCUCUCCU
rnacentral:tRNA from 1 species